GCCCAGGUGGCGAAACUGGCAUACGCACUACCUUGAGGUGGUAGCGCCCUUACGGGCUUGGAGGUUCAAAUCCUCUCCUGGGCA
rnacentral:tRNA from 1 species